CAAUGCCGUUUGCAUCUGUGCAAAUGGGUACACGCUCUCUUGUGUAUGUUCAGGGAGUCAGCCUUUGUUGGUGUAUUCCAUCAGGUCCCAUUGAUUUAUUUGGCCUUACGUUUGACAGUUGAACUAGAACCUCUUCCUCUGUAAACUCAUAUGUAACAAAUGCCUCACUUGUCCUUUUUCCUUACUGAGGCCCCUUUCCUUCAUUUUCAUCUGUAAAUACUGAACAAAAAUAUUCAUUGAGGCAGUCAGCUAGACCUUUAUCCUCUUUGUAACGAAUACCCUAUUCAUGGAUAACAAUAUUAUUACUGGUUUGCACUUUUGCUACGAUAUGCUGCACCUAUAUUCCAUACAAAUGUUUAAACGAACAAACUGUGCCUAAUUUGUUCGUUUACCGAACAGUUUGCUGAAUGUUAGACGACCCAAGCCAGUUGUGUGCCGCCAAUUGACUCAUUUGACUCUAUGCAAAACCGCAACCUCAAUGUUCUAAGUGGUUCACUGGGUGGCAAUUGAUUCGUAUGCAUUAACCCGUUGAGGCGGCCAUCUUGUUUUGUCGAACGCGUCCAGCAGGGUUUGGUCGUUGAGUGUCUGGAACUAAUUUCGCACUCUCGAUCUCCCGAACACCGCUGAGACUUCCAGGGACACUUAAAUUCAUUAUAAUCCAUCCGAAGAAGGCGGCAAUUGACAGAAAUUGUAUAUGAAUGAAGCGGCACAUGAC